rnacentral:rRNA from 1 species
GAUUGCCUCAGUAACGGCGAGUGAAGCGGCAACAGCUCAAAUUUGAAAUCUGGCUCCUUCGGGGUCCGAGUUGUAAUUUGCAGAGGAUGCGUCGGGUACGGGUCCCUACCGAGUUCCCUGGAACGGGACGCCAUAGAGGGUGAGAGCCCCGUCUGGUAGGAUACCCAGCCCAUGUGACGCUCCCUCGACGAGUCGAGUAGUUUGGGAAUGCUGCUCUAACGGGAGGUAUACUCCUUCCAAAGCUAAAUACCGGCUGGAGACCGAUAGCGCACAAGUAGAGUGAUCGAAAGAUGAAAAGCACUUUGAAAAGAGAGUCAAACAGCACGUGAAAUUGUUAAAAGGGAAGCACUCGCUACCAGACUUGGGUUUGGCGGUUCAACCGGGGCCACGCCCCGGGGCAUUCCGCCAGCUCAGGCCAGCAUCAGCUUUCCGUCGGGGGCAAAGACGUCGGGAAUGUGGCUCCCCCUCGGGGGAGUGUUAUAGCCCGGCGUGUCAUACCCUUCGGGGGGCUGAGGUACGCGCUUCUGCAAGGAUGCUGGCGUAAUGGUAGCUAGUGACCCGUCUUGAAACACGGACCAGGGAGUCAACCUUAUGUGCGAGUGCCCAGGCCGUAAAACCCCCGCGCGUAAUGAAAGUCAACGUAGGUCAGAGCUUCGGCGCAUCACCGACGGAUCCUGAUGUCCUCGGACGGUAUUUCAGUGAGAGCAUAUCGGUGCUGGGACCCCUAAGUAGGAUCACCUAUGCCGAGUGCAGCGGCGAAGCCAUAAGAAAACUCUAGUGGAAGGCUCCCAGAGUUUCUUAACGUAGCAAAUUGGAUCGUU